GAUGAACGCUGGCGGCGUGCCUAAUACAUGCAAGUCGAACGAUGAAACCUAGCUUGCUAGGUCGAUUAGUGGCGAACGGGUGAGUAACACGUGACUAACCUGCCCCUUUCUCUGGGAUAACGCUCCGAAAGGAGUGCUAAUACCGGAUACUCACAUCGAGGCACAUGCCUUGAUGUGGAAAGUUUUUCGGAAAGGGAUGGAGUCGCGGCCUAUCAGCUUGUUGGUGAGGUAACGGCUCACCAAGGCGACGACGGGUAGCCGACCUGAGAGGGCGACCGGCCACACUGGGACUGAGACACGGCCCAGACUCCUACGGGAGGCAGCAGUGGGGAAUAUUGCACAAUGGGCGCAAGCCUGAUGCAGCGACGCCGCGUGAGGGAUGAAGGUCUUCGGAUUGUAAACCUCUUUCAGUAGGGACGAAGCGAAAGUGACGGUACCUAAAGAAGAAGCACCGGCUAACUACGUGCCAGCCGCCGCAGUAA
rnacentral:rRNA from 1 species